UAAUUGUUUGCUAAUCUUUCAUAGGUUUUUUUUUUUGUUUGUUUAUUUAUUUUUUUUUAACUUUCUGAAAAUACUUUGAAGUUGAUUGAUUGAUUUGCACACUUUGGAUGUCAGUUUUAUACUUCUAUAUCACCAUGUUUUCUUGGGAUAAAACUGCAGUGUGAGGUGUUCACAUAGAACUAGUUUUAGCUCUUAAUAGCCCAACGAAAAGUUUUGGUUCAUAGCAAUAACUGUUGGUCCUCCAGAUGCAGACAUCAUUAAAAUAUUCCUUCUCAGAUUCACUGGAUACAUGUAAAUUAUCUGAAGUUUUCCAAGCUAGUACAUUUGAGGAAAAAAUUAUGAGUGAAGAAAACGAUAAAUUAAAAGUUAUAAUUUAUCUUUGAAACUAAUUUGAAGAAUAUUUAUUCUGAUAACUUUGUUUCAUAUGUUUAUUUUAUUGCUAUUUACGCUCCCAAUAAUGAUUCUGCUGGAAUUUCUACCUCAGAUAUGACAGCAAAGACUUAAUUGCUGAAGCUCACGGAAUGGUCUUUUAUUCUUGCACCAACUGAGAAUAUUUCAGCAACAAGAACUUUUGGGAAAAGAGGCCAUACAACAAACAAACUGCUCCCUUUCCAACAGGGGAGAUGGCAGUUCUGAUGGAUAUAGUCUUCCAAAAAUCUCAGGAAGAAACUUCCAGUGGUAUGCUUUUAUCUGAUCAAAGGACAAAUUGGUAUUAUUGAUAGUGAUGGUGUUUUAGAGGGAACUCCAGGUCAAACCAAGGACUGCAUUCAAAAUAGCAGAGUGGAUCUUUUUAAUGUAUUGCAUUUUUGAGAUGCAAUUGAACACAGCAUGCACACUUUGUUGAGCAUGUCUGAACAACAUCAAAGUUGUUCAUUAUGUAGAUAUUGGAAUGAACCUGUUAAAUUUUAAUCUAUAACAUUAGGUUUUCUCUCUGAACAAAAUAUUUUCACAAAAAUUGCCUUUUUAAUCAAAAUUGAUAUAUUUUUCUUACUAUAACUUCAUGUUCACAAAUUUUAGGCAGAUCUUGAUAUAACUGUGACAUUUUUGUAACUCUGGAGAAACUUACAAACUAUCAGGUGCAGUGUUUGAUUUGCAAAGAGAAUGUGUCUGAAGUAAUCGUGCAUUUGCAUUUUCCAGCAGAUUCACAGGAAAUAUAUGAUGUGCUUUCUGUCACAAGGAAUAAUUUAUUAUAGCUUACAUGAUAAAAAGCUUAGAAAUCAAAUCAGUUAUUGAGAGUUCUAUGCUGUCUAUUUAUUUCCUAUCAGACAAAAAGGAAUUUAAUACUGAGGGGAAAGAAAAGCCAUUUGCACAGCAUUUUGGAUGGAACAUUUAAAAUAUAAUGCAUCCCUUGAAUACUAUUCCAGGGAUACAUUAUAGUCAUAUGAUCACAGAGUGAUUAAAAAUCCAUAAUGGAGUAUUUCUUUCCCAGGUAUACACAUAAAAAGACCUCUUAUCCUUACAAUUUGACUUCCAUCCACUCAAACAAUUUUGUUCAUUUGGCACUGGUGUGGAAGGUAAUGCAUCUAAAAGAAUGAACCCUAUUUUCUGGUACAGGACAGUUCAUUAUCCUAAAAGCUCUUUCAUUAUAUCCCUUAAAUUGUGAAGGCAAGAGACAUCCUGCUUAUGAUUUAGCCUGAGAGCAAUGCACAUUCUUGAAAUAAAUGGUGAAAAUGUCUGUAGGUGUGCACACACACAUGUACACAUUCAUGUAGUGGUACUUCAGUUUGCUCUUUAUUGGAGCAGGGAAGCACAAAGUACAAAGAAGUUGAGAGUCAGCAAAGUUAAAGCAGAAGAAAUAUCAUUGAAGUUCUUUUCCUCUCUAAUUUUGUACUUUUGCGUAGUGGUUCAUUAAAGAGAAAUAUAAAUUUAGAUAUUCAAUUCUUACUUUGAGGUUUAUGUGAAAUACCAGGACUAGUUUCCAGGCCCUGGAAGAAAGAGGCCUCUUGCUUACUCCAACAGUGAAUGACAUUCUGAAGCAAUAUGCUUGAAAUGUGGUAUGUUUUAAGAAGACCAGGAGAAGAGCUGGCAUCCUCAAGAGCCGAUUUGAUUUUGUUUCUCCAGCUGGUAUAGUUAACCCAGUAGAAGAAACUUCCUGCCUCUGUAAAUUUUGUCUAAUUUCUGUCUGUUGACCAUUAUCACUAAAAUGAUACUAUUAUUAAAGGUAUUAAAUCAUACUAUUACUGCAUGACUUGAGAAUGAAAGCAAGUGCCAGUAAUUCUCCAAUGCUUGACAUCAGCAUAACUUUUGUAAUUUAUACAUAGAUUAAUUGAUUAUCCUUCCAAAUCAGAAUAUUCUGUGAUUCUGUGGCUUUCCUUUUCUUUGCAUUCUCUACAGUUUCAAACAAAUGUUGCCUGUUAGCACACAUUAAAUAAGGCACCUAUAUCCCGAGGAAAAACAUCGUCUGUUGCGCAUUUGUCCCUUAUCCUUAAGAAAAUGUGAAAAAAAUAACUGUAUGAACAAGCAAAAGAAACAUAGAUGCAUGUUAUUGCAAGUAAAAAUAGCAGCAUGACUCAAGUUCAGUGGUAUGAGCUGGUGUAAGUCCAUUAAAGUAAAUGGAGUGGUCUUCACUAGAUUGCGCUGCUAUCUAACUAAAGGCUUUCACAGGUCUCAUCAUUGUAGAAGAAUUUCCUUUCCAUUACCGUUUUUGACCUCCUACUCACUUUUUACCUUAGUUUAAUAGGCACAACAUGAAGUCUUUAAACAAUCUAAACAGAUUUAUAAAACUUUCCCAAUAACCACAAAUUAGAUGAUUUCUUGCUGAUUCUUUUCUUUGUCACAGGAGUUAGUGGUCUCACUAGUUCCACUGACAAAUUUGUAAGAACGUGUGAUGUAGCACAAGGGCCAUGAGUGUGAAACACCCUAAACCUCUCAGACACCCUUCACAUCUGCUUAAUCUGCAGCACAGGUCAGUCAGUGCAUCUAUGGACCAGUCUAGAACAUAAAGAAAUCUAGAGAAGUGCCCACCAGUUUUUUCUUCUUUUAUAUUAAAUUUCUUUAUGGAAAUUUACAAUUGUCUAUGGCUGGAAAUGCAUAAUGCAUAAUUUCUGGGUAACUACUUAUAAUUUUAUAUUGUACUGCUAAACAGUGGAAGGGGGAAAGGGACAAAGGGGGAAAGGGAUAAAACCAGCAAUGAAGGAUAGGAUGGUGUGCCAAAACUGGAGGAAAUGAGCACUAAUGGGAUCCCUCAACCUGCUUCACCAGGUGUUGGCCACAAAGUACCACACCUGAAAUGUUCCUACACUAAUGCCCACAGCAUGAGGAACAAACAAGAGGAGCUGGAACCUUUGGCCCACUCCCAGAGAUUUGACAUCAUUGGCAUGAGUGAAAGUGGUGGGAUGAGUCCUGUGACUGGAAUGCCCUGCCAGAUGGUUGCAGGCUCUUCAUGAAGGUUAGGCAGGGCAGAAGAGGUCUUGAGGGGCUGGCAUUGUAUAUAAUAGAAGGGUUAAAAUUCUGCAUAAUGGACAAAGAAAGAUAAGUUAACUGAGCCCAUUUUCUGAAUCACUUUUCUGUCUUCCUCAUGACUAGAGCAUGUCAUAUGCCUUGUUUAAAUGUAUAGGUUAAGCAUGUAAACUUAACUAUGCUGGUUGCUGGUGAAAAGAUUAGAUGGCCAAAGUUUGGGAUGUGGGAUUUAAAAUAUACUAUAAUUUGACUAGAUUAGGUAUUUUUGAUUUAUGUAGCCUAUGGCUGGUUUUAGAUUUAUUAUGUCCUUAUUGUCCUCUUAAUUUCCUAGUGUACUGCACAGAUAUGUUAAUUUACUACUCAUGCUGAAUGUAAGGUCACAGUGUCUCACUUUUGUUUGUAGUUGAUUGCUUAUCACCUAUUCAAGGCUUCAUUUCUAUUUACCGUGUGUAUUUGAUGAUUUGUCCUCAGUAAGUCCCUACAAAAGAAUACUGAUCAUGUUUUCUUUUCUCUCUCACAGCUGCUCAGUAAUUUCACAAGAUGUAAUGCUUGGGCAAUUGUUGAGCUUUGCUGCAGACUAAAAAACUUUGAACCACUUGAAAUGGAAAGAAAAAGGCCAUAAUUCUACCCAAACCAUACCUUGAUGGCUCUGGCUUUCUUGUGGAAGAGGUCCCUGGGAACCAGCUGAAAUGAAGUACAGUGACUGGGUAUGCCCACUGCUACAGAAUAAAGAACAAGCAAGAAUUAAGUUUUAACCUGGAAGUUAUUGCUCAUAUGAUUUGUAGACCUUAAACUGUUUCAAUAUUUUAAAUUUAAUAUGUCACCUCAAGUCCUCAGAACAGAAUUUUCAAGAAAACUUGUGGGAACAUAAUUGUUUUUGAGAAUAUAUUUUGCCUUUGAAUUGGUGAGAUGGGAUAAAACUGGAAUAAGAUGAAGUUCUGAGCUGAAGACGGAAAGAGACAUUAUGAUCUCAAAAUGUUUGGUUUUUUUUCCUCUGGAAACAGACUAAAAUAAGCCUUUUAUGACAGUGUAUCCAUAGCUGUCUUCUGUGUAGCAAUGCUAUUGACAUUUUUGGUGUUGAGAUGUUUUAAAACUACAAAAUAACACUAUUAGACUGAAAUCUUUGAACUGCAAAACAUUAAAUUCCAUUUUUUCUAAAGUAUUAUGAUGUAUUUUCCAUGACUAGCAAAAACCUCAUCUGUCUGAAGGGG